CUCUGCAGCUGCCAGGAUUUGGUGAGCCUGGGGUUUGAGCCCAAAAGCCUGAUCAGAAGCCUGCUGUCCCUUUUCUCCCUUACUCUGUGGUUCUUAGCAGAGCUGUAUCACUCCCUAGGGAACUGUUCUGGAAGUUUGCCGUGAUGUUCUGAUUGUCAUAAUAACUGGAUGUUCUAGAAUUCAGGGGCCAGCCUUCCACAAUAAAGAUUCCAUGUGCCUCAUUGCCUUGAGUGCUCUGCCUGGGUCUGAUGUGCUCAGAAACAUGGACCUCUGACAUGAAAAAAAGCCUUCAAAAUAUCUCCUUUACUAUCUCUACAUCUGAGCCUCGACCCCAACUCAGUUUCACAUCUAGAUGGAAAGUAUGUCUUGCACGGGUAAUUCUCUAGAAACUCAGCUACAGUCCAGUGAGAGAGAGAAAACGGAGAUCUCGGGCAAUGCAGUGAGCCCUGUUGGGUCUCGCUUUUCUUCAGCAUGACGCAGAAGAUAACAGUUGGUCCCUGGCAUGGUUGAGGAGUGACACUGGGGAUUCCAGGAAAAGUGCUGCAAGACUGGCUGGGAAGACACUGAAUUGGAACGUGCAGGGAGGAUGGACCCAGUACUGCGUGCCCCCAGCCCCACAAAUGCAUCUAGUUUGGCCUCUACUACCGCACAAAAUUGGGACUUGGAGAGCUGGUUCCCUUGAGAGUUGGAAAGUGUGAGAGAAGUCAUCAAAAUCUCUCACGGGUGGCAAGUUUCAGAACUGGUGGAAACAAGAGGGUGAACAUAUCCUGUCCAGCUUCUCACUACAGGAAGCACAUGGCAGCCUGGGGCCUCUGCUCACCAGCUCAAAACGAAACUGUCCUUGUCUUCUGGACCUGAGCCUGCAGUAUUAAAUUUGCAGCUUGCUGUCAAAACCAGGAAUGGUAUUUUUUAAAACCAGAAGGCAUGAAAUGAAGAAAACUACAAGUUAUUUAACUAUUGAACCAGAACACAGCUACACCACAUUUCUCAGACUCCUUUGCUGCUAGAUACGGUCAUGUGAUUUCAUCCUGGCCAAUGAAAUAUGAGCAGAAGUAUAAGUAUCUUUUCCAGGGCUGGCCCAUGCCUCAUCUUCAUUUUCUUCCCCCAUCAGCUAAAUGAUGGGGAGGACUUGGAGUCAAGAGAAAAGUCCAGUCACCAGAGAGAAGCAGCCUCAGUCUCUGAAAGACUGUAUGG